UCUCCUCGAUCCUUCACACCUCAUUUUCCGCGUUGGUGUGAGGCUACUUCUCUCCUUCUCCUUCUCUCUCUCUCUCUCUCUCUCUCUCUCUCUCUCUCUCAAAUCGUUCCCUCUGUGAAGCUUUCCAAAGGUAACCAAAUCGUUUCUGCUAAGUUUCGAUCGUCUUGAAUUUGUUGAUUUCGAUCGUUAACGGGUGAUCGGGACCUCCAGCCACAACUAAACAUGGGGCUGAGUUUCACAAAGCUUUUUAGCCGGCUUUUUGCCAAGAGAGAGAUGCGUAUUCUGAUGGUUGGUCUUGAUGCUGCUGGUAAGACCACCAUAUUGUAUAAGCUGAAGCUUGGUGAAAUUGUCACGACAAUUCCCACCAUUGGUUUCAAUGUGGAGACAGUUGAAUACAAGAACAUCAGCUUCACCGUUUGGGAUGUUGGUGGUCAGGACAAGAUCCGUCCACUAUGGAGGCAUUACUUCCAGAACACACAGGGUCUGAUAUUUGUGGUGGAUAGCAACGACAGAGAUCGAGUUGUUGAGGCAAGGGAUGAAUUGCAUAGGAUGUUGAAUGAGGAUGAAUUGCGAGAUGCCGUGUUGCUUGUAUUUGCUAACAAGCAAGAUCUUCCUAAUGCAAUGAAUGCUGCAGAGAUCACUGAUAAGCUUGGCCUUCACUCUCUCCGCCAGCGCCACUGGUACAUCCAGAGUACUUGUGCAACCUCUGGAGAGGGCCUUUAUGAGGGGUUGGACUGGCUCUCCAACAACAUUGCUAACAAGGCAAGUACCUGAACUGCUACCUUUCCUUUGUCCACAGUUGAAAUGUCUAUUUAGCCACCUGGGCCUGAGGUGAAUAAAUGUUGUGCUUCAUCAAAAGAGGGUGUGUUAUAAAUGCAGGAUUUAUACUGUGUAGCUCUGUUUUUCUUUUUUCCUCUUCUGAAGACAAGUAGAGGCUUUGGCUGUGGUGAUGAGAACGGUUCCUUGUCUUUCUUGACUUUGUGAGUAGGGUUGUAAUAGUUUGGAUGGUUAGCCAGAAUACUUUCUAUGAGCUAUUUUCUGGGGCUCAAUGUAAUGACGGCUUUAGCUAUAGACCUUUUGGGCUGUUCAUGUAUGGUAUUACUUUUUUACUCUCUUUUAAGAAAUGUGAUUACGUUUUGUGAUCCA